UGUUUUUGAGAGAGCUGUGGUCCGAACUAGGAAUAGAAAGCGAAGUUGAGGAACAAUGGAGCUUGUGGGAGUCGCAGAAAAAGGUUGGAUUGGGUGUUCCAGCUCAUACUGUCCGCGCGCGGGGAGGGCGUACAAUGCGCGGCACUGUUAGCGCGAACAGAGCAUCGGUGUCUCUACGUAUUUUACUUCCAUGGUGUGUUGAUUUGCACCAAAUUUUACCGCUUAGGUUAGCGUCCCAAAUUAGCCCUUCCCACCGCACUAGCAGUUUUGAUGACGAAUUUUUGAUUCCGAUAGAGAAAAAAGCGGCGAUCGCUCUUCUGUACUAACAGUGUGACGCUCUCUACCUCCAAACAAAGUCGAAUUCUUUAGUGUUCUCAGUGCAAUGUCCCGUGAAUUACAAGUUAGCCCUGUUCAUUCUCGACAGGACCAUUUUACACCAGAUCAGUUUGAACCUCGGAUCUGGCAGAGCCAUGGCAUCAAAAAACUUAAACCAGACGCUGUCAAAGCCAGUUCGAAGACCACCGCGAGAAAGGGAAAUGGGAAACAUCCAAGGGGAGCCAAUGCAGGGGGAAGACAGCAUCCAGACGCUUCCAUCUCUGGAUUCAACUGCUGCUCUCGCAGCACAAGCCUUGCCCACGCACAC